GGCUCAGGAUGAACGCGGGCGGUAUGCUUAACACAUGCAAGUCGAACGAUGUUUUAGGACAUAGUGGCGGACGGGUGAGUAACGCGUAAGAAUCUACCUUCAGGUUUGGGACAACCAUUGGAAACGGUGGCUAAUACCGAAUGUGCCGAGAGGUGAAAGGCUUGCUGCCUGAAGAAGAGCUUGCGUCUGAUUAGCUAGUUGGUGGGGUAAGAGCCUACCAAGGCGACGAUCAGUAGCUGGUCUGAGAGGAUGAUCAGCCACACUGGGACUGAGACACGGCCCAGACUCCUACGGGAGGCAGCAGUGGGGAAUUUUCCGCAAUGGGCGAAAGCCUGACGGAGCAAUACCGCGUGAGGGAGGAAGGCUCUUGGGUUGUAAACCUCUUUUCUCAGGGAAGAAAAAAAUGACGGUACCUGAGGAAUAAGCAUCGGCUAACUCCGUGCAGCAGCCGCGGUAAUACGGAGGAUGCAAGCGUUAUCCGGAAUGAUUGGGCGUAAAGGGUCCGCAGGUGGUAGUGUAAGUCUGCUGUUAAAGAGUCACGCUCAACGUGAUAAAAGCAGUGGAAACUACACAACUAGAGUACGGUAGGGGCAGAAGGAAUUCCUGGUGUAGCGGUGAAAUGCGUAGAUAUCAGGAAGAACACCGGUGGCGAAAGCGUUCUGCUAGACCUGUACUGACACUGAGGGACGAAAGCUAGGGGAGCGAAUGGGAUUAGAUACCCCAGUAGUCCUAGCCGUAAACGAUGGAUACUAGGUGUGGCUUGUAUCGACCCGAGCCGUACCGUAGCUAACGCGUUAAGUAUCCCGCCUGGGGAGUACUCACGCA
rnacentral:rRNA from 1 species